rnacentral:rRNA from 1 species
UACGAAGGGGGCUAGCGUUGCUCGGAAUCACUGGGCGUAAAGGGUGCGUAGGCGGGUCUUUAAGUCAGGGGGUGAAAUCCCAGGGCUCAACCCUGGAACUGCCUUUAAUACUGGCAAUCUCGAGUCCGAGAGAGGUGAGUGGAAUUCCCAGUGUAGCGGUGAAAUGCGUAGAUAUUGGGGAGGAACACCAGUGGCGAAGGCGGCUCACUGGACCGGUACUGACGCUGAGGCGCGAAAGCGUGGGGGAGCAAACAGGG